GACAGGUGCUUUUUCUCUCAGAUGCUGCUCGGCCCUCUCUCCUGUGAGCAGUUCCCCAGCUCGCAGGCCUCAGAAGGAAAGCUGCACUCACAGGAACCUGCUAUGAGGGAUAAAGAAGCUCGUGACAACUCAACCCUUCCCAGGGAUGUUUGUGUUCAUCUAGGGACCAGAGUUUUAAUUUUGGAAUCUGAAGAGGAGAGUCCUUUCCAGGAUUAAACUGUCCUGACAUCUGUAUUCUUUCAUCGGAAUGGUAGGGUCACUUCUGCCUGUACCUGGGAGGGAUAAUUGAUCAGAGUAGAGGGCAGAUCAUAAGGUGUGGGUUGAUAACAGGUCUUUGAAUCAAAGAAUCUCAGAGUUGGAAGGGAGCUUAAAAUUCUGGCACAAUCUCCCAUUGUACAGAUGGAAAAAGUGAGGAUCAAGUAGGAGAAGGGACAGUAGCUAGACUUGACAGUAGAUGAGCCUUUCCCUAAUUCUUUGUGGUAUAGAGAAUGAGGAGGGCACACAACUCUUCCACAAGCUCUUUUCCAUCAGCAUCGAGUCCUCCUCUUCCUGACUCCCUGCCUCGCUCUCUGUGUUCCAAAUGGACGGGUAGUUAUCAAACUUUAAUGUGAAUAACAAUUGUUAGGUGACACUGGAUAUGGAAAACUGCAACUCUGUUACUCUCCUGGGUUAUACAGGACUGGAACCCAGGGAUCUGCACUUGAUGAUGAUUCUGAGAACCACACAUUUUCUGAGAACUACACGUUUGGGGAACAUGAGCUGGGCCACGGGAGUGGUCUGGGUCGAGAAGGAGGAUGGAUAUAAUGACCCCCAAGAGGUUCUGCCAGCCUGAGCCAUCAGUGAUUCAAGUUUGGAGUUAGGGUAGUGGUGGGGAGUGACCUUUGUUUCUCGCCUCCAGGGGUUGUUCAUUAGAAAGGUAAUCUUCCUUCUCACCUUUAGGUCUUCCUCAGUCAUCAUAAAAGCAGAGCCUGGGGGAGGGGAGGUGUUCUUUAGGGGGAUUAAAGACUCUUCCUUGAGAGGAAACAAAUUCCUUACUAAUUAUGCAAUUAUUUUAUUAUGCAGCCUUAAUGAAAAAAAAAUGCAUACACUACUCAAAGCCUAAAAAGAAGGCUGUAGCCAGGACUUAUCCAAUUUAAUAAAUCCUCUCCAUCCUGUAAUUAUUUCCUGGAU
rnacentral:lncRNA from 1 species